AUUGGUACUUGCACAUAUAUACUAAAAUUGGAACAAUACAGAGAUUAGCAUGGCCGCUUGUACAAGGAUGACAUGUAAAUUCAUAAGGCAAUCCAUAUUUUU